CUCCUGCAGAUAUUUCCUUUUUUUUGUUGCGAAGAAAAUUGCCUGCAGAAUUGUCAUGUUUCUCCCUAGACAUGUAGAUCUCAACCAAUUGGCAGAAUUAUCUCUAUCUGCACAGCCUCCUUGGUCAUUAGAGGUUGAGAAAAACUUUUUGAAUGGAAAGCUGAAGGCAAUAACUGCUUACUUCACGGAGACGGCAGUCAGAGGACAAUAAAUCAGCAUACUUGUGUGGAGCAGUGAAGGAGAACGGGGUCACCUUUCGUGAUAUUUGAGCUCCUAAUGAUUUUUAAUGCUGUUUUAUGGGUUCCCUCACAACAGCCUCAAUUUCGGUUAUACUGUGAAUGAAAGUAAUGCAAGUGCUUUCAUAUUCUCUCUUCAAAAGCAAAACAAAUCUCAUGGAUAAUGUAGGACAAAGUUGUCGCCUUAUGACUGAAACGGAGGAAGAUGUAUAGAAAGUAUGGCUUGGAGAACAAAAAUCAAUGUCUGUAAAAUGUUCAAAGAAGACAAAUACAUUUAUUCUGAAAGCCAAACAAAUGCUUUUUGUAUCAACCAUUUUAACCUUGUCGGUCUAUCUGAUUUAUUGUUAGGUGAGCUGGUUUUCAACUCUUCUUCUUUAUGCUGGUUGUAACAACCGGCCUUUGUUCUCUUUAUGUCUUCUGCUCUUUUGGGCCACACCACCCAGAGUUGUACCAAGUACCAACAGCCUAAAACCAUGUAUAUAAUGCUGCAUUAAGGUAGUGGUUUGAUGUAA